ensembl:lncRNA
GGGAAGCCACGCCCUUCUCUGCCGGCGUGACGUCAUCGCGCACGCACGCACGCACGCACGGGGGGCGUGGCCUCGUGACACAGCAGCGCCACUACGGAGGCCGGGAGGGGUCAAAAAGGACGCGGGGCCCACGAGGCCCUAUAGGGCCCUAUGGGGGCGGAGGGGGAGGGGGUCCUGAAGGCGGCUUUUAGGGCUUUAUAGGGCCCUAUGGGGCCUUAGAGCUGCCCUAUAGGGGCCGAAGGACCCCAUAAAGUUGAGCAAGAGGGGCCAUAUGGGGGUCUGUAGGUGCCCUAUAGGGGCUUAUAGGGUGCCCCAUAGGGGCCCUAUUGGUAUCUACAGCGAUCCUAAAGCUAUGGGGUCUUGCAGAUGCCAUAUAGGGACCCCAAAGAGGCUGAUAGAGGGCUAUAGGAACCUGAAACGACCCUAUAGGUGUCUAUGGGUACCUUAAAGCAGCCUCUGGGGCCUAUGGGGUGGGAUUCGGGGUCUCUGUGGGGUCUAUGGGGUGGGAUUUGAGGUCUAUAUGGGGUCUAUGGGGUGGGAUUUGAGGUCUAUAUGGGGUCUAUGGGGUGGGAUUUGAGGUCUAUAUGGGAUCCUGGGGUCUGUGGGGUGGGAUUCGGGGUCUCUGUGGGGUCUAUGGGGUGGGAUUUGAGGUCUAUAUGGGAUCCUGGGGUCUAUGGGGUGGGAUUUGAGGUCUAUACGGGGUCUAUGGGGUGGGAUUUGGGGUCUAUAUGGGAUCGAUACGGGAUUUGGGGUCUAUGGGGAGGGCUUUGGGGUCUAUAUGGGGUGUAUGGGGUGGGAUUUGAGGUCUAUAUGGGGUGUAUGGGGUGGGAUUUGGGGUCUAUAUGGGGUCUAUGGGGUGGGAUUUGAGGUCUAUAUGGGGUCUAUGGGGUGGGAUUUGGGGUCUAUAUGGGAUCUAUACGGGAUUUGGGGUCUAUGGGGAGGGCUUUGGGGUCUAUAUGGGGUGUAUGGGGUGGGAUUUGAGGUCUAUAUGGGGUCUAUGGGGUGGGAUUUGGGGUCUAUAUGGGGUCUAUGGGGUGGGAUUUGAGGUCUAUAUGGGAUCCUGGGGUCUAUGGGGUGGGAUUCGGGGUCUAUACGGGGUCUAUGGGGUCGGAUUUGGGGUCUAUAUGGGGUCUAUGGGGUGGGAUUUGGGGUCUAUAUGGGGUCUAU